AGAAUUAUUGAGACUCUCCACAAAGAAGAAAGAGGUGAAAAACAAGUCGUGAAGGGACUGUCAUAGGCAAAGGGAGCUGAGCAGCUCCUUGAUACUGCUAGCAAGAAUGCCUUAAAGCAUGGAACUGGAACUGAUGCUGAUGAGACUGCUGCAUUAGAAAGAGCCAUCCUCAAACCCAGCAGGCAGGAACAUCACCAGAAAUAUAAAGAGACAGGAAUAAGUAGACUACUGCUGCUGUAGAAAUAGUCACCACACCGGACUUGCAAUCCUCACCAAGAGAGUGGAAAAAAGAUCAACUACUACUAUGGUCCAAGGCCACUUGUAAUGAGAUCUGCUAUCCAUUUCAUGAGACUCCUGGGAUAUUUGGGAGGGAUAAUUUUAAGAGGACUGUAGAAGACUGUGAGAGAAGGCAACAAGGUCUCUCACUGUGGCUCCUCUUUCCCUCUCCUAUGAUGGCCAGAAGACAGAUCUGCAAGCAGGAUGAAUGGUUGAAGGCUUCAAAAACUCUCUGAGUGCUGUGAUAAAUGCAGGAAAAAAGAAGCAUGCACCGUUCCACUGGAGCAGUAAAAG